GGUUGGUUGUAAUGCUAAGCCAUUACAGUUCAAUUCUGUGGGCCCAUCCCUAUUCCAUUGUUUGGUUGGCUGUAAUGGGCUAUUACAGCCCUAUUCCAUAGAGCGUUAUUCUGGGCAAAACUGUCGUUUACAAUUCAGCACUGUCCCCCACGGAAUACCAAUUCAGCGUGAAAAAUUUAGGUUAGAGUUCAACUUUACCCUUCCAUUUCUUUCUCACGUCUGGACCUUUCUUCAUCCAUUUCUUUCUCACGUCUGGAGCUUUCUUCUUUCCUUCAUUCUUCUUCUCAUUCCUUUCAACCUCUUCCCAAGUUCCAAUGAAGGAUUUUUCAAUUAGGAUUCUAUCUAAUAACAGUUUAUAGUUGGUGAUCUGUUUGAGUUCUUGUUCCUUUUCUUCUCUUUUGUCUGUGUUUAUUUUUUUCAUCAAUUGACUUUAAGGAAUGUGUGUAUUUGGAUGACAAGGAAGGUCUACCUCCAUUUCUCUACAAAGAAAACUCAUAAACCCCAAAAAUACAAAGCCCCCAAACCCAGAAAAAAAGCUUAAGCUUGAAGAAAUUUAGGAACUUUAAUGGUCGGUGGAUCAAGAUCCGAAUUGAUUUCAAGAUAAGGACCAUAGAGCUUGAUAGAAAAAGGAUCAAGUUGCAAAUAUUGCUGGGCAAGAGAGGUUUUGUACAAUAACUGAGGAUGAGCGCUAUUGUGCGUUGAGCAAAAUUUCAGAUCAUCCAUCGCAAAUGCUCAUUUUCUUUAGUUUGAUUUCUACUAUGCGUUUGGAAUAAGUCAAAAGAUUUCGUGCUGACCAUUAAAAAUUAUGGUUGUGUUGAUGAUAUUUUGGUAACAUUUUGUGUUUGUAAUAUUUGGAUGGUAUAAUGACAUGAUAGAAUGCCAUUAAAAUGUUGUAACUUUUUGAGGUUGUAAAAUUUUAUAACAUAUGGAUUAUGACAUAUAAACUAAUGAAAUCAUGUAACUUUUUGUUAAUAUAUGAAUAUUAUGUUUGGAUGUGAAAUAUAA